UACAGAGGGUGCGAGCGUUGUCCGGAAUCACUGGGCGUAAAGGGCGCGUAGGCGGGCUAGCAAGUCUGGGGUGAAAUCCUCCGGCUCAACCGGGGGACGGCCUGAGAUACUGCUGGCCUCGAGGCGGGUAGGGGCGUGCGGAACUAUGGGUGGAGCGGUGAAAUGCGUUGAUAUCCAUAGGAACUCCGGUGGCGAAGGCGGCACGCUGGACCCGAUCUGACGCUGAGGCGCGAAAGCCAGGGGAGCGAACGGG
rnacentral:rRNA from 1 species